CUUAGGGAUUCAGGAUUGCUAUUUUCUCUCUUUGGCUUAGUCUUUCAGAUCUUUGCUAUGGAGGGACGGCGUGGUGCUUCUGCCUAGAGCACCAUGUUUCCCGGCAGUCUGUAUUUUAUUAUUGGUGUGACUUCACAUAAUGGUCAGUAGACAGGACUUUAGUACUGCUGUCUGGAUUUUCAGUUUAUUUUAGCAAUGACUUUUAAAAGCCUUCACUAGAGAGGGCAGUAGAGAGAUAUAUCGGUGAACUCUCUUUAUAAAAUACAUGGUCUGGAAGUGAAGCUAAUUGGAUUUAUGUGAUCCUUGUUAUGUAGUUCUCAUUUACUUUAUGAAGUAAGACCUAUGCAAAUACAGGGUAAUAGACAUAAUAAAUAUCAGAUAAAGCAAGUGAGGUUCAGGCUUUUUUUGUAAGAAGUUGAGCAACAGAAGCCUGCUGGCAUAGAUAAAUAUUCUGAGAGUAGUUCUUGCAGUGUUAAAGAGAAAGCAAAUGUGGUUUUCCAAUUUGAAAUGUGGAUUUAUUGUUAUAAAACAGAUGUUUGUACUUUUAGCAGUAGAGGUUGAAGAAAAGGUUUAAUAACUCACAGAAGAUGUAAUUAUGUAAAAGUUUUAACAAUAUAAGAAUAAGUUAUCUUUGUAUUCUUAAAUGGGAGGAUAGAAUGUGACUUAGCAAAUUUAAGUACUUGUAAAUUUAAUGAGCAUAUUUGUGAUUCUGCUUAUUUUUAUUAAUUUGUUUUUAUUUAUAGUCAUAAAUUUUUGACAAUUUAAUUUCACUUUUAAUCAGUUCUAAUGGUAAAUGAGAAUAGAAUGAGGUGAUUAAAUAUGUAUUAAUGGUUCAUGUCUACGAAUUGUUCAUUAUAUUCAUCUUAUAUAGAGAGAUGAAGGAAUUUAAUUCUGACCAUGAAAAGCACACACGUCUUAGAAGCCCUCUUUCAUGUAUAAUUAUUUUUACAUAAAGACUGACAAAAUUUGGUGGUUGGAAAGUGGAAUCUGGAAUUUUAGUUUUUUAUAUGAUUGUAUUUCAAAGAUUUCAUUAUGGAAAUACUGCACUGAAGAAAAACUCGUAUUUAAAUGUGUUCUCAUGGUAAAAAGUCUGGAAUGUUGAAGGUUGUAUUGAGGAUUAUGUAUUUUUUGUUAUUUUAUAGUUCAUAUGCUAUAUGAUUUAUCAGUUCAUGAUAUUAGAACAUUAUUUGGCUUUUGUUCUCUUUAUGAAUGUGUGUAACUGUGUAACAAUAUCAUUUGUAGCAUGUGUGUCAUAAAUCCUAUCCUUGUCUUUCCAUCAUCUCCUUUCUUACUUGGCCAAACAUUAGUUUAUGACGUACUAUGACAGAAACUUUGUCCAUUUGUCCUUUUUCUUAUCAUAACUCUUCUUCCCUAUUCACUGCCUCCCUGUUUCCUGGUUUCCUCUCACUGCACUCUUUCUUCCCUUUCCUUUAAUUUCCCAAAUACUUCUGUUUUCAGAUAUGAAGACUAGAGGAUACAAAGGACUGCUGUAGGAUAUAUUGUUUCAACCAUACAAUGUUAAAAACAUAAAUUUACAGAUUCAAGAAACUCACUGAAUUCCAAGCCAUAUAAAUACAGGAAGAAUCAAACUUAGGGACACCAUAGUCAAGCUGCUAAAAACCAAAGACGAAGAAAAAAUCUUGAAAGCACCCAGAGAAAUGAUAACAAAUUAUUGCUGGUGAGUUAUCAGAGACAAUACAGGCCAGCAGGCAAUAGAACAACAUCUUUAAAGUGCUGGAAAAACAAAAGUCAACCCAGAAUUUGAUAACCAGUGAAAAUAUCCUUCAAGUAUCAAGCCAAAGUAAAGACAUUUUCAGAUAAAUAAAAAAUGCCGUUGCAGAUUACAAGAAAUGCUAAAGGUAAUUUUUAUGCUGAACGGACAUGAUACCAGAUGGAAAUUCAGAUCUUCAGGAUGGAAUGAAGAGCCCUGCAUUGGUAAAUACACAGAUAAAUUUACAACUGCUAAAUAUAAGUCUCUCCCCUAAUUAAAAAAAAUGACAAAGUAAAAAUUAUAACAUUAUAAUAUAACAUUUAUUGCAUAUGUAGGUAUAAUACGAUACUUGUAUAAAGGAUGGGAAUAGGUAGAUGGAACUGUUUACUUUUACUAGGUUCUUAUGUGAAGUGGUAGAAUAUUAACUGUAAGUCCACUGUGAAAAGUUAAAGAUGUAUAUUGUAAUUCCUAAUGCAAACACUUAAAAAAAAAA